CGAACGCUGGCGGCGUGCCUAAUACAUGCACGUAGAACGCUGAAGAGCGGAGCUUACUCUUCUUGGAUGAGUUGCGAACGGGUGAGUAACGCGUAGGUAACCUGCCUUGUAGCGGGGGAUAACUAUUGGAAACGAUAGCUAAUACCGCAUAACAAUGGAUGACACAUGUCAUUUAUUUGAAAGGGGCAAUUGCUCCACUACAAGAUGGACCUGCGUUGUAUUAGCUAGUAGGUGAGGUAAUGGCUCACCUAGGCGACGAUACAUAGCCGACCUGGGAGGGUGAUCGGCCACCCUGGGACUGAGACACGGCCCAGACUCCUACGGGGGGCAGCAGUAGGGAAUCUUCGGCAAUGGGGGCAACCCUGACCGAGCAACGCCGCGUGAGUGAAGAAGGUUUUCGGAUCGUAAAGCUCUGUUGUAAGUCAAGAACGGGUGUGAGAGUGGAAAGUUCACACUGUGACGGUAGCUUACCAGAAAGGGACGGCUAACUACGUG
rnacentral:rRNA from 1 species